GGGAGAGGGUGGUGUCUAUGUUCAUUUGUGCGAAUUUAUGGAAACAGAAAAAGGAAACAAAAACAUAGAUCACAAUACUGCCAGUUGAGGUGUAAUUUUAUUUUCUUUUUUGUGUUUCCUGUUGUUUCAAGAAAUCUCUAACAUCACUUUUAUGAUAAAAGUAUAUUAACAUAUACUUUAAAAGCAUCCUAUAUUUUAAAUAUUUAGUAUGAAUUUAUCUUGCCUGAAUUACUAAGUUCCCAAAUUAUUUUAAUCAGAUGCUAUGGAAAUGUCCUAUUUCAUCUGUAAUUCUUCCAUAUUGAAUGAGUACUGAUUACUAUUUCCAAGUAAUUUUGUGAUUUCUCAGAAGUUUAAAAAUUCUAAAUAUUUCUGUCCAUCAAACUGUAAAAAGUGUUUGAUUUCCUAUCAAAUGCAUAUUUGAGGUAUCUGAUGGAAAGGAGUUUUGAUUUAAAUGUACAUGAUCCUAACAUGCUUUGUCUCCAGUAGUGAGCUUCUGUGGACAUUUUUACUAGGUACCGAAUUCUAUUAAAAUCAUGAAGAAAAGACAAUUAUAAAAAAAAAUAUAAACCCUACCUACACCCUUGAACAGCAAACAUGAAGAUUUUGAUUAGCAUUUAAUGAGAUUUUCCCACCAAAUAUUGGGUUUUUUUAUGGCAUAGCCAAGUCUCUCAUACACCAGUAUGUAUGUGCACAAUUCUGGUUCAAAACUCCCAGCAAGGAAAUCUCAUAAACAGGGAAAAGGGUAAAUUUAACCUGACCCUUUAACAAAAGCACUUUUUUUUCCCUAGAAAAGUGAUACAGCCAGUGCAAAGGCCAGCUGCUGUGAUGACAGACUGCCACCAGACAGCCUCAGAUGUGUUGUUUUGUUACUCGUUCUUAUAAUUUUUCUAAGCAAUGCAUUCAAGUUUUUAAUCGGACAUAUAGCAUCAAAAGUAGAAUCUAUGAUUUCGAGUAAUCGAGGAAUUGAUUACAUUUGCUUACUCCAGCUUCUCAAAACUAUGACUGGCUGUCACCAAAACAAAAGUUAGGAAUGGACACCUAGCCUUGGUAAUAUUCCAGGAAAACCAUCAUCCGUUGACUUGCUGUGUCAAUGACAGUGGUGUCUCCAGUUAAAAGAUAAAGAGUGCAGGGCAGUCACUGGUUUUAUUGGACAGUCACAUCCGCUUGUGGGAUGUCACUGUAUCUGAAAUGACCGCCCUCACUGGGACCUAUUCCCAAGUGGGGCUCACAUCUCACUUGUAUUUAAACACAAAUGCAGGGUGUCAGACAGCCACUGGCCUUAAGAACAUGCAUUUUGUUCAGACAGUAGGAAUUCAGAGGGGAUUUGCAUACUACACAGUAGAAGAUGUUAAACUGAGGAUAAUCAGUAAAUAGGAUGGUCAGACCAGGAUUGUAUUUGGAGUAACAAACACACCUGGCUCACCGUCAUUAAACAUGAUUCCAACACUGUUUUAACUCUACAAACACGAGCCCCUCAAGGCUGAAGGCUGUGGUCCCUGACAGUCCGCUGCUGGCCGGGUGUCUGCACACACGUGGUGAGAGCAGAGUCACCGGAUGCUCGGGAGUUGAUUGUUCCGGACGUGUAACGGGCUGUUUAUCCGUGAGCUGCUGCUUUCAAAUUUAACGACAAGGAAUCUGAUAGCACUUGUGCAAAAACAUUUCUUGUUUGUCUACAGGAAGCCUAAGAGCCUCUUGCCUUGCCUCCAUCUCCCACCUCACCCCACAGAACCACCUCAAACAGACCUGCUUUCGGAUAUUGGAGAGUGGGUAAAGGAGAAGAAACGAAUCCGUGCCCUGGGUAGUUAACUCUGGUAGGACGCCUCGUUUGCUGCGGCGCCAGCUGUCACCGGGUUAGGCAGGUCCCGUUCGGGUCUGAGGGCUGGCAGCUAAGUGAAUGGGGGAUGCCGAUGGGAGAACCUUGCGGUUCCCCUGCAGCUGUUCAUGGUGUCAGAUCACUUUAACCUUUACAUUAGGCAGAGUCUGAAUUUUAAUCAGAACACAUAUAUUCAAGCACAUGAAAACUUGCUACAAAUUUUGAAGCAUUUUGUGUGUGAAUUCCCACAUGUGUCAACAAAUUCCCUGACAGAAUCUUCCUAUAAAAUUGGUGGGUUUUUUGAAAAGGUGGAAAAGAAACAGAUCUAUGUUAGAGAUGCCUCAGGGCCUGUGUCCACAGUUAGUUACAAUUUCUAAACCACUGUCUUUUCUGGAAUAUAAUCUCACCUAUUUUCUCACAAAUACCGAGAUGAUCUACUUUGUUACCCCUCACCCAAAAAAAUUCUUGUAUGUGAUCUCUUUGGAAACUAUCCCUGCCCCUUGACCUCUUGAAGUUUUACUAUAAAACUCUCUGCCUUCUCUCUCCAGCAGGCUCAUGGUUUUGGAGGCUUUGCCCUCUGUGACCUCCUCUGCCUGGCCAAGAAAUAAAGCUGCCUUUGCUGCUGCACCCAAAACCCUGUCCUCGAGUCUCAGCUCGGUAAGUCAGGAUCCUAAGGGACACAGAGAAACAAGCAACGGUCUGGAAUAGGAGCUGUGCAAAGAGAUAAGAAGCAGGUUUAAUCUUCACCAGCCAACACCCACGUGAAGUCGUAGAAAAGGAAGAGGGAAAGCCCCAAAGCUGUUUAAGGAGACAGAACUUUACAGCUGAAAUCCUGCUAUUUGAAAGAAGAACCUGAUGGGUAGUUUCUGUUCCAAGGCUGACUGGUACUGGACUGAACUUCCUCCUGGUUCCUUCCCCAGCCCUCAUGCCGAAGCCCCAGCGCCACGUCAUGCAUAGGUGGGUGGAAGCAUCAUCACUCAGCUCACAGAGCUGCCGCUAGGACCUGACAGCACAGGUUUGCAGGAACAUGGUGACCAGACCUAAGCAGACAGCUGCAAGAACAAAGGACUAUCACGCGCCCCACGCUCUGGCCCGCCAAGAAGUCUCCAACAACCAGCCACCCUCCCUUCCUUUUUAGUACAAAAGCAGCCUGAAUUCUAACUCACGUAAGAUGGUCCUUUGGGACACUGGCCCACCAUCUUCUCGGUCUGCUGGCUCUCUGAGUAAAGUCACUGUUUCUUGCCCCAACA